AUUGAACGCUGGCGGCAGGCCUAACACAUGCAGGUCGAGCGGAUGAAGGGAGCUUGCUCCUGGAUUCAGCGGCGGACGGGUGAGUAAUGCCUAGGAAUCUGCCUGGUAGUGGGGGAUAACGUCCGGAAACGGGCGCUAAUACCGCAUACGUCCUGAGGGAGAAAGUGGGGGAUCUUCGGACCUCACGCUAUCAGAUGAGCCUAGGUCGGAUUAGCUAGUUGGUGGGGUAAAGGCCUACCAAGGCGACGAUCCGUAACUGGUCUGAGAGGAUGAUCAGUCACACUGGAACUGAGACACGGUCCAGAUUCCUACGGGAGGCAGCAGUGGGGAAUAUUGGACAAUGGGCGAAAGCCUGAUCCAGCCAUGCCGCGUGUGUGAAGAAGGUCUUCGGAUUGUAAAGCACUUUAAGUUGGGAGGAAGGGCAGUAAGUUAAUACCUUGCUGUUUUGACGUUACCAACAGAAUAAGCACCGGCUAACUUCGUG
rnacentral:rRNA from 1 species